GAUGAAGAACGUAGCGAAAUGCGAUAAGUAAUGUGAAUUGCAGAAUUCAGUGAAUCAUCGAAUCUUUGAACGCACAUUGCGCCCCCUGGUAUUCCGGGGGGCAUGCCUGUUCGAGCGUCAUUUCAUCACUCAAGCCUCGCUUGGUAUUGGGCAACGCGGUCCGCCGCGUGCCUCAAAUCGACCGGCUGGGUCUUCUGUCCCCUAAGCGUUGUGGAAACUAUUCGCUAAAGGGUGCUCGGGAGGCUACGCCGUAAAACAAACCCAUUUCUAAGGUUGACCUCGGAUCAGGUAGGGAUACCCGCUGAACUUAAGCAUAUCAAUAAGCGGAGGA
rnacentral:misc_RNA from 1 species